rnacentral:lncRNA from 1 species
GUGACAGAGUCCCCUCCCAGAGCCAUGCCUCAGCAGGCUAUUCCCAGGCUGCCAGGCCUUCUGCACUCACAGCCUGCCAAGGGGGCCAAGGCGGAGCCACAGUUUCUGCCUGCACAGCAGCCGUUUCCUUCCCUGCUGAGAGGAGGAGGCAGCUCUCCUUUGGUGAACUACAAAGGGAUGUUGUUGAAAAGGGAUGCUCCCGAGAAGGCCAGCUUCUUGAAAAAUGCCCCUGGAGUGUUAGACUUGACCUUUGUACAUCAAAGGAGGCUUCUUUCCACCCCGCACAGCUUGGAUGGAACCAGUGAGCAGAACUAGGCCCAGCCGCUGCCUUUGGUUUGUCUUCCUCUGAAGGAAAAAUACGCCAGCAAAGACAACGUUCUAUAACC